GAGGGUGUAGCUCAGUGGUAGAGCACAUGCUUAGCACGCACGAGGUCCUGGGUUCAACCUCCAGUACCUCCA
rnacentral:tRNA from 1 species